GCUCACGCGACAAACAAUGAUUUCUUUUUAUAUUAAAAAAAGAAAAUAAAAAAUAAAACAUUAUACAAUUGAGAAAUGGUUAGGAUCAAUUGCAUUUUUAUGAAAGUCACCUGCAAAAAUUUUGCUUUGCUCAAAGGUCUGCCACCUUUCAAAUAUACAUAUAUUAGGACCACUGAUUAAAUAUCCAUAUAAAACGACUCGUAUUCAACGUACUUGUUGAUAUAAACUUGUUAAUUUCUCGCUGGCUACUUGACAUUGUCUACUUGAGUGAAAAAUCUUCGCGUCUGUACUCCUAUUCAAGCCGUUUUUACAACUAAUAUUCUGCAUAUCAUAAUAGCGAAUAUUACGUGCUAGCGAUCAGCGGUGAAAUUUUCUUGACCUUCAACUACAUCACAUCAAAAUGUUUCGUAUUGUUAAUUUCAUUGAUGAUGUUUCACUUACCUUAGUAUGUCAAAAAAUUUAGUUAUAUAGUAAUCUAUAAAAUUUUUAGGUUCUGUUCGUUUGUAAACAGUCACAGGACUCUCCUAAUAAGAUAAGCUGAUGUACCUCUUAUAAAUUAAAAAUCAUUAACAUGAUGCUUGUAUUUAUUUCAUCGAGAAUUUUAUAAACAGGCAAUUUUUGUUCUUCACAUAAUGGCGAAAAAUCAUUUUCACUAAAUAAUUAUUAUAUAUCUUUGAUUGUAUUAACAAAUGACAAACGCUUGGAUGUCAUAAAACUCCGCAAACUACGAAUACAUUAUUUUUCUUGUACAAUUAGGAAAGGCGUCUAAAUAAAGAUUACAUCGUGCAAUACUGAUUAAAAGUUGUGAAAUUUUUUAUUGUAUCGUAUAUGUACAAAAUAGGUGUACAGACUACUUAUCAAUCGUAUGGGCGUGUCCUAUGCACGCAUUACAUAUGCUUUUAUCGCAUAUGACACUGAUGUAAGAGCAUCACAUUGUGUAGUACACCUGUGUAAUCCCCUCUUCUGUUAUCUUUCAUCAAAUGGAAUGAAUAUCGAGAUGACUCGUAACUAUGUUUCUUUUUUAAAAUCCUGAUCUCAUUUUUUUUUUUUUUUAUCCUCUUUACAAUCAUUAAUAACAUUCUAGCAUAAGGGUUCUGUGACUAUUACCCUUUCCCCAUCUUGUACACACGAAAAUAAUAAAUUACACUGGAACGUUAUCUUCGAAAUUUGUUUCUGUUUUCCCUUAAGGAGCAUAGUAAUUCAUCUUUUUUUUUUCUUUUUCUGCGAAUCGCGUUUACAUUACUACGUUAGAAUAGUGUAUCUUCGCAUCAUUGGAAGUAUCGAUGUGUGAACACGGCAUCGGAGAAGACAAAAAGGAAACAAUACGAAUACACCUCACUGUGGGUCCGUCCGUGCUUUCCACUAAUUUUAUUAACAACAACUGGGCCAAAUAUGUUUAUUUUUUCCACAUUUGCUUUUAAAAAUUCACAUUUGUUUUUACAUCGCAUUACACUUUUUUUUUUUUUUUUUUUUUUUUUUUUAAGUAAUUUUCAUCACAAUUUGGUCUUUUCUUUCUUUUCUUUAGCAGCCCCGUAACAAAACAAAGCAAGUUAACACAUACAAUUGGCUCUCAGAAGAAUGCCCUUUGAACUUUCAA